rnacentral:rRNA from 1 species
AGCACGUGUGCAACCUGCCUUUAUCAGGGGGAUAGCCUUUCGAAAGGAAGAUUAAUACCCCAUAACAUUUUGAAUGGCAUCAUUUAAAAUUGAAAACUCCGGUGGAUAAAGAUGGGCACGCGCAGGAUUAGAUAGUUGGUAGGGUAACGGCCUACCAAGUCAACGAUCCUUAGGGGGCCUGAGAGGGUGAUCCCCCACACUGGUACUGAGACACGGACCAGACUCCUACGGGAGACAGCAGUGAGGAAUAUUGGACAAUGGGUGAGAGCCUGAUCCAGCCAUCCCGCGUGAAGGACGACGGCCCUAUGGGUUGUAAACUUCUUUUGUAUAGGGAUAAACCUACUCUCGUGAGAGUAGCUGAAGGUACUAUACGAAUAAGCACCGGCUAACUCCGUGCCAGCAGCCGCGGUAAUACGGAGGGUGCAAGCGUUAUCCGGAUUUAUUGGGUUUAAAGGGUCCGUAGGCUGAUUUGUAAGUCAGUGGUGAAAUCUCACAGCCUAACUGUGAAACUGCCAUUGAUACUGCAAGUCUUGAGUGUUGUUGAAGUAGCUGGAAUAAGUAGUGUAGCGGUGAAAUGCAUAGAUAUUACUUAGAACACCAAUU